rnacentral:rRNA from 1 species
UCCUAAGCUGAGGCCGACAGGCGUAGGCGAUGGAUAACAGGUUGAUAUUCCUGUACCACCUAUAAUCGUUUUAAUCGAUGGGGGGACGCAGUAGGAUAGGCGAAGCGUGCGAUUGGAUUGCACGUCUAAGCAGUAAGGCUGAGUAUUAGGCAAAUCCGGUACUCAUUAAGGCUGAGCUGUGAUGGGGAGAAGACAUUGUGUCUUCGAGUCGUUGAUUUCACACUGCCGAGAAAAGCCUCUAGAUAGAAAAUAGGUGCCCGUACCGCAAACCGACACAGGUAGUCAAGAUGAGAAUUCUAAGGUGAGCGAGCGAACUCUCGUUAAGGAACUCGGCAAAAUGACCCCGUAACUUCGGGAGAAGGGGUGCUCUUUAGGGUUAACGCCCAGAAGAGCCGCAGUGAAUAGGCCCAAGCGACUGUUUAUCAAAAACACAGGUCUCUGCUAAACCGUAAGGUGAUGUAUAGGGGCUGACGCCUGCCCGGUGCUGGAAGGUUAAGAGGAGUGGUUAGCUUCUGCGAAGCUACGAAUCGAAGCCCCAGUAAACGGCGGCCGUAACUAUAACGGUCCUAAGGUAGCGAAAUUCCUUGUCGGGUAAGUUCCGACCCGCACGAAAGGCGUAACGAUUUGGGCACUGUCUCAACGAGAGACUCGGUGAAAUCAUAGUACCUGUGAAGAUGCAGGUUACCCGCGACAGGACGGAAAGACCCCGUGGAGCUUUACUGUAGCCUGAUAUUGAAAUUCGGCACAGCUUGUACAGGAUAGGUAGGAGCCUUUGAAACGUGAGCGCUAGCUUACGUGGAGGCGCUGGUGGGAUACUACCCUAGCUGUGUUGGCUUUCUAACCCGCACCACUUAUCGUGGUGGGAGACAGUGUCAGGCGGGCAGUUUGACUGGGGCGGUCGCCUCCUAAAAGGUAACGGAGGCGCUCAAAGGUUCCCUCAGAAUGGUUGGAAAUCAUUCAUAGAGUGUAAAGGCAUAAGGGAGCUUGACUGCGAGACCUACAAGUCGAGCAGGGUCGAAAGACGGACUUAGUGAUCCGGUGGUUCCGCAUGGAAGGGCCAUCGCUCAACGGAUAAAAGCUACCCCGGGGAUAACAGGCUUAUCUCCCCCAAGAGUUCACAUCGACGGGGAGGUUUGGCACCUCGAUGUCGGCUCAUCGCAUCCUGGGGCUGUAGUCGGUCCCAAGGGUUGGGCUGUUCGCCCAUUAAAGCGGUACGCGAGCUGGGUUCAGAACGUCGUGAGACAGUUCGGUCCCUAUCCGUCGUGGGCGUAGGAAAUUUGAGAGGAGCUGUCCUUAGUACGAGAGGACCGGGAUGGACAUACCUCUGGUGUACCAGUUGUCGUGCCAACGGCAUAGCUGGGUAGCUAUGUGUGGACGGGAUAAGUGCUGAAAGCAUCUAAGCAUGAAGCCCCCCUCAAGAUGAGAUUUCCCAACUUCGGUUAUAAGAUCCCUCAAAGAUGAUGAGGUUAAUAGGUUCGAGGUGGAAGCAUGGUGACAUGUGGAGCUGACGAAUACUAA